rnacentral:lncRNA from 1 species
CGGUGAGUGUUACAGCUCUAUUAGAAGCCGUGGGUCACAGAAGAGAACCGUGGAACCUAGAGACCAGUGUUCAGCUCGAUUGGGACGAACCUGGGCACUUAGCCGUGCAGAAACAAUGGCGAGCCUUUAGCCGGAUCGGGAGCAGUAAUGGGUGCCUCCAUGGACAGCGGACACCCUGCCGGAUCCAGAGGGGUGGAAGUCAGCGGCGGGUCUGCGAUGUGGGCAAACAACAGUGGUGGACAGAUUGUGGAUUUCUUAUUUCAUGAGCUGGACACAAUUUCUCAUGACAUUAUGCACCUGGCUCCAAUGCUGCUAUUAUUAUAAUGUACUCUUUAUGUAUGAUAUUUUCACAAUUAAACAAAAUCAUUUUUGAUAUUUUUGCUUGUGAUUAAAAUAGAACUUAUAUUG